AUUAUAUUUAGUUAAUGAGCUUGAUAAAGCAUUUGUUUUGAAAACAUAAAAUAGAA
rnacentral:tRNA from 2 species